rnacentral:rRNA from 1 species
GACGAACGCUGGCGGCGUGCUUAACACAUGCAAGUCGAGCGGUAAGGCCCUUUCGGGGGUACACGAGCGGCGAACGGGUGAGUAACACGUGGGUGACCUCGCCCUCAGCUCUGGGAUAAGCCUGGGAAACUGGGUCUAAUAACUGGAUAUGACUCCACGGUGCAUGUCGUGGGGUGGAAAGCCUUGUGCGGCUGAGGAUGGGCCCGCGGCCUAUCAGCUUGUUGG